rnacentral:rRNA from 1 species
UACAGAGACCUCAAGCAUUAUCCGGAUUUAUUGGGCGUAAAGGGUCCGCAGGUGGCCAAGCGCGUCAUCGGUUAAAUGUUCGGGCUCAACCCGGACACCGCCGACGAUACGGCUAGGCUCGAGAGUGGGAGAGGCAAGCGGAAUUACCGGUGUAGUAGUAAAAUGCGUUUAUAUCGGUAAGAACACCAAAUGCGAAGGCAGCUUGCUGGAACACUUCUGACACUCAGGGACGAAAGCGUGGGUAGCGAAAGGG